rfam:Schistosoma margrebowiei strain Zambia genome assembly, scaffold: SMRZ_contig0002945
AGCCAGCUGACGACUCCAAAAUAGGACUAAACACGCAUCCUGGAU